GUUUCCAGCAGUUUUCACAAAACCAUGAAGUUAGCUCUGAUUGGGUCAGCUCAGGUCACGUGUCCACCAGGUAAUAAAUUCCUGUUGCCAGGCAACACUGGUGCUGUUUGUUUGGCCUGGACUACAGGUUCCACUCCUGAGUCUUGGCUGUUUUUCUCACACCAAGUUGCUAAGCAGGGAAGAUAGUUUUCAAAAUACAAGUCCUCUGGGCAUAAACUUCCCUUGUUAAGGUGAGGAUUUGUGUCCUUUGUUACAUUUUGAGUAUCUAGAACAGUGAUGCUUAAGCUCCUUAAAUAUCUUUUGAACGAAUAAAUAUGGAGAUGAAUAACAAGCAGUCUUUUGUGUAAUAUGUGACACACUUUAUCGCUCCAAGUGCUCUAUGAAGCAGCAACAAAAUAAAGGCCAAGUGCACCAACCUUUGCCAAGAGCCUCAGAGGAACACAUAUGAAGUCACUGACCUACGGCCUAUGUGAGUGUCUCCUAGGUUGGUGCCGCAAACUCUCUGUACCGGGCUUGGCCCAGUCAAAUUCACAGUGAUCAUGAUGCCGGCCCUACAUGAAGGGUGCUCUGCUCCUGGGAAAUCAAGCUCUGGUCCUGACAGGGUCGAGAGGAUCCCAGGUCCCUCAGGAGCCUCCCAAGGGCAAAGUCAGUUCCCAUGUGGACCGUUCCUUCUGGUAUGCAGUGUACACGACAGGAGGGGCUCUCGCUGAGCUACAGAGGAUAUACAGGGCCCUCUGGGGAGUGUAGCUAUAUCACCUACUAGAAGCUCUUCGAGGGUGGGUUAUGUCCUCUGUCCCUAGAACAAUGCCUGGCCCCCAGAAGAGCCCAAGGAAUGUGCUGUUGAGGCUGACAGGCAAGUUCUCCUAGCUGGGACUUAACAGUCUCUCAGAAGAGCCAGGCCAAUGUCCCAUCCCCAUGGUAAGGACUGUCAACUUGGAUGGUGGAGCAUAUGGGCUCUACUGCCAACUGUAGGAGACAAGGAACCUUCUCUUUCUCCUCUGCAGGUUUGAUGGCCGAGUCUUCUGAAAUUAACAGGCAAUAGAUCUGCUGAAGAAAAUCCUGUGAGAUUGUGACACGCAUGGGGCCAUCACAGGAAAGCAGGUACCAGGAAGGAAUCAGCAUCCAUCUUCUAGGCUCUGAGCCAGAAUCAUUUAUCUGAUGGGCCUACUCCAACCCAAGCAAGAAUAUGGAGAGGUGGUGAAUAUGAGAGGUGAGGUCGCACACUGACUUUGAGGGCGUGUUCAGUGUCUCAGCCUAAAAGAAGUGGUGAUGAUGGGAUCGAGGCACACUACAGCUUGAGAGGAAGGCAAUGGCAUGUGGAAGAUCUUUGAAAUCACACCGGGAGGCUGCUCACUAACCAGUCUCUAAGGUUAGCUGAUUCUCUGGGAAGAAUCAUCAUGUUAUCAAGUCUCUGCCUUUCUUUCUUUUGAAAGUGAACUUCUGCACUUUUAGAUAGCACCCACAUAGCUUUGGGUGGCUUCAAUCAGGCCUACAGUGGAGAAACUGAGAAAAAGUUAAGACCAGACCAUCAGACAUGAUGUGUGCCUUGAGGAUUAUAUACAUGGAACUCCCGUCAUUCAGGGCAUUGAUGCAUGGAGUCCUCUCCUCCCCUUCGGGUGUCUGAUCUGCCAAGACCCCAGAAGGAUAAGGAAAUCUUGUCUGUAUGGAGGGAAAAACAUCUUCUGGUCCCAGGUACAAAUUACAGCUACUCUACCACCAUUGGUGUGAAAAUAGAGGAUUUUUCUCUUUAAUGUCUAAAUGAG